rnacentral:rRNA from 1 species
ACGAAGGGUGCAAGCGUUGUUCGGAUUUACUGGGCGUAAAGCGCGCGCAGGCGGGUAUUUAAGUCAGAUGUGAAAUCUCGGGGCUCAACCCCGAAACUGCGUCUGAAACUGGAUAUCUAGAAUACCAGAGAGGGAAGGGGAAUUUCACAUGUAGGGGUAAAAUCCGUAGAGAUGUGAAGGAAUACCGGAGGCGAAGGCGCCUUCCUAGAUGGUUAUUGACGCUGAGGCGCGAAAGCGUGGGGAGCAAACAG